GGGGAGAUAGCUCAGUGGUAAAGCACUUGCUUAGCAUGCAUGUGGCCCGGGGUUCAAUCCCCAUCACCACA
rnacentral:tRNA from 1 species